UGAGUAACACGUAUCCAACCUGCCGUCUACUCUUGGACAGCCUUCUGAAAGGAAGAUUAAUACAAGAUGGCAUCAUGAGUCCGCAUGUUCACAUGAUUAAAGGUAUUCCGGUAGACGAUGGGGAUGCGUUCCAUUAGAUAGUAGGCGGGGUAACGGCCCACCAAGACUACGAUGGAUAGGGGUUCUGAGAGGAAGGUCCCCCACAUUGGAACUGAGACACGGCCCAA
rnacentral:rRNA from 1 species